AAGGGAGUUGGAGUUCAAUUGAAUCUUAUUACAAGCAGUGACUACUCACUCUCUCUCAAGGGCUUCUCAGCUUAAGGCAACAAUGUUAUACCAAGGUCGUUAGUUUUGAGGGGAUAUAUGGUAUAUUUUAGCAUUUCAGGCUUGUGAAGGUUUUUGCCUUAAUUUGUAGCAGGCUUUGAAUUUCAUCGACGGACAAAAAGACCCCAAGGCAUUUUUGUUGCUCACUCUCCCUCAAGGGCUUCGACGAAUGCCAUACAUGGCAAAUCUCGAGGGCUUGAGGGUCAGUAAACAAAAAGUGUCUUGCUUAUUAUAUGGCAAUGGCAUUUGAUGGCGGUUAUCAAUGGUCAUGCAUCCCAGAUGUUUUUGAAAUUUGCUUUUGGAAGGGUUAGUGAUGCGUACUAUUAUCAUUUCUUACUCGGGUAAUUUUUGAGAAAAUAUCAUAUAAUAUGCAUGCAUGCUCACACAGAUAUGCACGCACAUGCAUCAUACAUAUAUAUACGGAAACAAUUUGGCCUCACUUUGGGAAAAUGUCAACUUUGACUAGUACAAUGAACUAAACGAACUAAGUAUCAUAUGAGUGGGCAAGUAACUCACCGCUAAUUAAUGAUGAGUUUGGUUUCCAUGUCUAUUUCGUAUGCUAGAUACAUGUUCGAUGCUCCAAACCCCCCCCCCCCCCCCCCCCCCUUUCUCUCUCGUAAUCUGCAACUGUAAUGAUUUGCCCGAUGAGAAGUAUACGUAUUUAGACACUUAUUCUUCAUCCAUGCCAUUGCUCAAGUUAUGCUGAUCACGUUUUUUUAUUUAUUUUUAUUUAUUAUUUUUAAUUUUUUUUUUAAUACCAGUGUUAAUAAAUUACUCAAUACUCUUAUUGGUCUUAAAAAUAAGAAAUUGAAUUCGAAAAGGAUACGAAACGUGCUUAUCUGAAAAUAUCCAUCAAUACACCACAUGCAUAUAUGUCAUGUAAACAUGAUUUCACAUUGCUUGUAGGAGUAUUGUUAGGGAGAUCAAAAUUUUUAAACCAAAUUUCGUAACCAAAUGAAGUGGUUGUUAAUGAUUGAAUUAUUACUAUUGGCGACAUAUCAUUUGCUUUGUAAAUUUGAUUUAAAAAUUUGGUCUACCUAGCAUUACCUUAUAACUUAUAGUAUUCAAAUUCUAGACCCCAAUCAGUAAACAUAUAUAAGAUU
rnacentral:lncRNA from 1 species